GAUGAACGCUGGCGGCGUGCCUAAUACAUGCAAGUCGAGCGAACGGACGAGAAGCUUGCUUCUCUGAUGUUAGCGGCGGACGGGUGAGUAACACGUGGAUAACCUACCUAUAAGACUGGGAUAACUUCGGGAAACCGGAGCUAAUACCGGAUAAUAUUUUGAACCGCAUGGUUCAAAAGUGAACGACGGUCUUGCUGUCACUUAUAGAUGGAUCCGCGCUGCAUUAGCUAGUUGGUAAGGUAACGGCUUACCAAGGCAACGAUGCAUAGCCGACCUGAGAGGGUGAUCGGCCACACUGGAACUGAGACACGGUCCAGACUCCUACGGGAGGCAGCAGUAGGGAAUCUUACGCAAUGGGCGAAAGCCUGACGGAGCAACGCCGCGUGAGUGAUGAAGGUCUUAGGAUCGUAAAGCUCUGUUAUUAGGGAAGAACAUAUGUGUAAGUAACUGUGCACAUCUUGACGGUACCUAUUCAGAAAGCCACGGCUAACUACGUG
rnacentral:rRNA from 1 species